rnacentral:misc_RNA from 1 species
AGACCGUUCGACGCCAAAACAACAGGGAUACAACGGUAGAUGCGGACAGGACGAGGCGCCUCGUCCUGUUUGCAUUUAUCCUUGUGUCCCUGUUGUAUUGGCGUUUAAGUUUAAGCAUGACGGACGGAGCCGACGGAGGAGCGACAAGCGGCGAUGCCCGAGAUCGUCGAGAUGCGGAGUCCGCGAACCACCAAAGCGUGACAUCCGCCUGAUAACGCAGAGCACCGCUUGAGCAACUGUUCUGACGACGGAGAACGACAUCAAAGUAAUCGGUCCGAGCGGUCGAAGGGGUCGCCCACUGGUGUUUCGUUUCAUCGAGCACGGCUCUGAUUGUUGUAUCCAGAGCUCUGCAUUCAUCCACGGCUCUGCAUCCAUCCACCCGGUCCAGCCAUUGAAGGAUCCAGCCAACGUUAAUUCCAGCCGAUCCAGCUAUCGGCUUCAACUGCUUCAGCAGCUUCAAGAACUGUGGCGCUGUGGCUUCAACAUGAGCCUCAAGAAUACAGUGCUGUUUCGUGCAGGUGAGUAUCACUUUAAAUAGUGACGUCUACAAAUGUCUAAUGUUACUGACCAUAGCAGAGUCCCCACGGUGCAAUACCUGUUCCAUGUUUCAUUUAUCACCUGCAGAUAACAGGUGAGCUGACGUGUUUGUUGAAUAUGGCAAUACUGAUUGCGAAAUAGUGAUGGGCUAGUCUACACGAUUAGUAAGGUUGUUGGCUAACAGUGUGCAUGGAACGGAAUCUGAUUAGAACAAAUGCAAUGAAAGCAUUUACGACUCAAAUAUUGAUGCUUAUGAGAAAGCAUCAGUUGCAAAAUGGUGUUGCAUAAUAAGUGAAGUACAAUGCAGUAGCACAUCGUUUUUGGAUUUGGUGUCACUGGUUGGUGUUGCUGGCAUUAUUAAUAAUAUGAAGCUUUCGUCCUGAGCCAGAAUAGAUGGGAUUAACAGCAAGUUCUUAAAAAAUUGUAGUAUGUAUUGUUCAAUAAUUCUUUCAAAACUUUAUAUGCAGUCUCUUAACCAUGGCACAGUCCCGAGCAAUUGGGUGGUGGGAAGGUGGUUUUUUUACAUAAAUGUGGCGAAAAACAAAACGCAUCCAAUUAUCGACCAAUUUCUUUAACAAGUGCGCCAUGUAAAAUAUUUCAACACGUCACUUACUCGCAGUUGAUAAAUUAUCUUGAAACUAAUGACAUCUUCACAAGUUCACAACACGGCUUUAGAAAAUAUUCUUCAUGACAGACGCAACUAC